rnacentral:rRNA from 1 species
CCUACGGGCGGCAGCAGUGGGGAAUAUUGGGCAAUGGGCGCAAGCCUGACCCAGCAACGCCGCGUGAAGGAAGAAGGCCCUCGGGUUGUAAACUUCUUUUGUCAGGGACGAAACAAAUGAUGGUACCUGACGAAUAAGCCACGGCUAACUACGUGCCAGCAACCGCGGUAAUACGUAGGUGGCAAGCGUUAUCCGGAUUUACUGGGGGGAAAGGGGGUGUAGGCGGGAGAGCAAGUCAGAUGUGAAAGUCCAGGGCUCAACACUGGAACUGCAUUUGAAACUGUUUUUGUUGAGUGAUGGAGAGGCAGGCGAAAUUCCGGGUGGAGCGGUGAAAUGCUGAGAUAUACGGAGGAACACCAGUGGCGAAGGCGGCCUGCUGGACAUUAACUGACACUGAGGCGCGAAAGCGUGGGGAGCAAACAGGAUUAGAUACCCGGGUAGUC